UAAGCGCUUAGUGUUGCUUGGUUCUGAGUGGAGGCGGUCGAAGCAGAGCCAUGGUACAUUGAAACAAAUGGCAACCCACUGAGAAGCCCCCCUCCACUUUAAGCCUUUUGUGCACAAGCAGCAGACUGGAAGGCAGCCAAAAGCAUCUAUGAAUUCUCUGCAGUAGACAUUGAUGGCAAUGAGGUGUCCUUGGAGAAAUACAGGGGCUAUGUUUGUAUUAUUGUCAACGUAGCAUCUAAAUGAGGAAAAACCCCCGUAAACUACACUCAGCUUGUAGAACUUCACGCCAGAUAUGCUGAGAAAGGUUUACGCAUCCUUGGGUUCCCUUGUAACCAGUUUGGAAAACAGGAACCUGGGGAUGAAGCUCAAAUCAAAGACUUUGCUGCAUCUUACAAAGUGGAAUUUGACAUGUUUAGUAAGAUUGAUGUUAAUGGCGAUGGUGCUCAUCCUUUGUGGAAGUGGAUGAAGGACCAACCUAAAGGUCAUGGCACCCUUGGAAAUGCUAUCAAGUGGAACUUCACUAAGUUCCUUAUUAAUAGGGAGGGUGCUGUGGUGAAGCGAUUUAGCCCAAUGGAUGAUCCAGUAGUCAUUGAGAAGGAUCUACCCAGUUAUCUGUAGCAUGGCUCCAUUCAAUGCCUGGAAGUGUAUCCUGCAGUUUCCUUUCCUAGUAAUGAUGGUAUGCUUCAAAACCGGGAGGAGGAGGCAGACCGGAUGGUGAAAUGGCGUGCACCAGUGGAGGGAAACUGCUGUUACUUCCAGGACUCUUGCUGUGAAAAGGAAUCAUGUACCUUAAUAAAGAUUCUGUAUAAUAUAAAAAUAUAUUGCUUUGUGU